rnacentral:ncRNA from 1 species
ACACGACUCUGGAGAGUCCCUAUUGGGCGCCGAAGGUGCACGGAAGUCAUUCCUUAUCUCUCAGGCAAAAGGACAGAGGCUG